CCUCAUUUCUAACCUAAUACACUCUCCUUCCUCUAUAUCAUUAGCCGCCACCAAUCACCCCACCGGUAAUCGCUUCGUCGCCCGUGCCACCCCAAAGCCGACGUUGACCACCGUUGACCACCGACCGGAAAUCGCCUCCACCGUCCGGAGUCAGCCAAAAGACGUGAAACCACCAUGUUUCUUCUCCACUUUUCCUCCUUUACAUCAUCAUAAUAAGAUCGUACUACCAUUUCCGCCCCGCCAUUACCCCAUAGAAAUACCUAUCCAUUCGGCCCUUCUCUGAUUACUUUGACCUUAGUAUCGGCAUACCUCUAUGCAUAUAUCAUUAGAUAGAUAUGAAAAAAAUCUAUUCAAUGAUAUAAGUAUUAGGGUAUUUCGAAGUCAUCAAGACCCGGUCAAAUCGCUGUUGACUAGCCAUAUCUUGCUAAAACACCUUCUAGUGUUUCACUUAGAGGUCAAUAGGUAAUUUUAGUAGGUAAAUAACAUAAUUUAGAGGGAUGUAAAAGAAAAAAAAUAACUGAAAAAGAUUCUCUGCAUUUCUAUAUAACAGGACACUCUUCACACCUAUUAAAACCAUUCAUUCUCACUCUCACUCUCACGCAAGACACACUCAUCUUUUCACAAUCUGAGAUUUCAAAAUACAAAUUCACUCUCAUAUCCACAGAAUACCCAACAGACUCUCACUCAUCUCUAUUCAUUCUCACACAUUCAUCUUCAUUCACUGCACUCACACAACAACAUCUGGAAUUCAAAAACAUGGAGAUCUGAAAAGAAAACCAAAGUUCUGAAGAAAAGCAUGAAAAAACAAUAGAGUUCUAGGUUAGCUUUCACUCAAAACAGUUCAUAAGUUGUAGCUGUUUCGAUUUGUUGUAUUCUCUCUUGCAUUUUUGGGUUUCGAAGUUGAUCUAGCUUUGAUUACUGGUUGUUUGCUGCUGUUCUCUGUCAACUAGUAGCUGAGCUUCAGUUGUAGUUGUUCUCAGCCUUUAUUUGGCUAUUUUAAGACUUGUUUGUUGCUGUGUAGAAUAUACAACAUACUGAAACACAGUGGUGAAACAUAAUUGGAGUUGAUGUUUUCGGGUUUAAAUGAAGCUAGAAGGAAGUGUUCAUAUCAUAUCUUCCUGUUCUGAUUAUUUUGCAUUUGCAUCUGGAAAUCUGAAGAAGAAACAUCGAGAAGGUCAUUUGUAUACUAUUUUAAUUCAUUUAGUUUAGAACUUGGAAGCCAUUUUCAUGAGUCUAAGGAUUGAAUCAGAGAGUUCGUAACAAUUUAGUUCAUCGGUUUUGUAAUUAAUCGGUGGGUUAACAAUUGUUACUUUAGUUUUCUCAAAUUGGUUGAAAUUUUUGUAACUGAUUUAUUCCUACCUAUGAUUGUGUAAGUAAUGUUAGAUCGGAUGAAGCUUACGCAAA